CCCUUAGAUGUUCGGGGCCGCACGCGCGCUACACUGAAGGCAUCAGCACGUCUUUCUCCUUGUCCGAAAGGACUGGGUAACCCGCUGAACCUCCUUCGUGCUAGGGAUUGGGGCUUGUAAUUCUUCCCCAUGAACGAGGAAUUCCCAGUAAGCGCGAGUCAUAAGCUCGCGUUGAUUACGUCCCUGCCCUUUGUACACACCGCCCGUCGCUACUACCGAUUGGAUGGUUUAGUGAGAUCCUCGGAUUGGUCCCGGCGCGGCCUCUGGUCGUGCCGGAGUGCCGAAAAGAAUGUCGAACUUGAUCAUCUAGAGGAAGUAAAAGUCGUAACA
rnacentral:rRNA from 1 species